AAUCUGGAUUCUGAAACUAAGCUGCAAUCAUGCAUCGAGAAACAACCAAGAUUAUUGAAUGAUAUAAUCUUAGAUUGAAAGAACAAUAUCCAUCUUGCAGAGGUGUAUAAAUUCUUUGCAAAGGUGUUGAUAUUGUUUGUUUAUUAGCUAUUUGCAUUUUGUGCAUUUAAAAGUUAUUUGUUGCGAAUUGUGCUGUCGUGUUUACUUACUCAAUAUAAGUAAACGAGUAAAGGUCUGCUGUGUAACAGGAUUCACCAAUAAGCAAGCGAUAAGACAUUCCAUUCUUACGAAUGAAGACGUUUGCAGAAUUUGGUUGCAAAGAAUAAAUAACCCCAAGUUAAUGCUUGCAGAUACAGUAUUAUCAUCACAUAGAAUAUGUUAUAUUUAUUUUGAACCAAUUUGUAGAAACCCCAAUGGCAGGUUAAAAAAACUUUCUCUGCCAACUCUACAUUUACCUGGUCAAAGAUCAACAAUAUAAAGACUAUGAUGUUGUGAUGAAUAUGGCAUAUGUUAAAUAUAUGGAAAGCUGCAAGAAAGACAAUCAUUAAUUAACCAUGGUUAUAAAAUCAGUUUUUUAUAUACCAUUGUUUGUACCAUGUAUAAACAAACAUUUUUUAAUCACGCCAAUAUUUCAAAGUCCUAAACCUGGUAAAAUGUGAAGGAAAAUUUUUUGUUUGUGGAUAUAGUUACAAAAUGUCAAAAACAAAAUAAAACUUAUAAUAAUCA